GUUUGCACUUGUCGGGGAAGGGUGAGAACCUUCGAUUAAGGUUCGACUCGAGCGAAAGAACGUUGCCAACGGUAAGGGCCCGUAGGGUGAGGAGUGAAGCGACGAAUAAUCCUUCCUCCACCACCA
rnacentral:sRNA from 1 species